GCUGCCUGCACUGCAGCUUCACGACCCAGGUGCCUUUGGUAGGAAUAAAGCCAAGGAGGAAGAAGACCUUACCCCUGCUGCAGUUCUAACACUCCAGAUCUCCCCCAAGGCCAAUUCUUGUGCAGACUCACUUCUUUGCUUUUUAUCCUCAGAGGUGAUUUAUAGUGUGACUGCUGGAAGCAUUUCCAUGACCUAUUGAACCACUUUCUACUGGUAUCACAGUAAACCAUGCAAGCAGGACUGUGUAUUCCCAGUAACCACAGGGCUGCAUGGGGAGAUCCUUCCUGUAAUAGAUGUCAUCUUCAUCUUUUAAGUUCAGCUUGGUGAGUAACUGGCUAGUCUUGACAACACUCUCAUCCUUGCCUUGUUCUGCAGGAUGCCCACGUGUAGGCCCACCUGCAAGUCCAGCUGUCCAGCUGCAGAGCCCAUGCAAACCAAGCCCCCACUUCUGCCACCUCUGGGGAUGCUAGGCGGUGUCUCUGUGUCUGGCUCUGGCAGGUGAACUUGGUGAAUUUGAACACCGGUUUCAAAGAAUUACAAGAUAAUGUUCUCAUCCAGGAUUUGCAAACAGGGCUGUGGUUCAUGGGUUCUCUGCUCCCUUGUGCCAGAAGCUACCCAGAACCGACAACCAGACUCAUGGGAUGGAAGAACAGAAAGAAUAAAAAACAAACGCCCACCUGUGACACAGAUAAAAGAGAAAGCAAGUGAGAGUGUCUUACCCGUGUGUGACUCUUCCAGCUGUGGAUAUAAGGAACUACUUAAGCGGCAAGCCCAUGACUCAAUUGCAAUGGAAAUCACAGAGCUGGUUUAAUGUUUAAAAAUAAAAAGGACCAUGUUCUUUCUGAGGUUGACCA
rnacentral:lncRNA from 1 species